rnacentral:rRNA from 1 species
CCCUUAGACGUUCUGGGCCGCACGCGCGCUACACUGACCAGUACAACAAGCAUCCGUCCUUGGCCGACAGGCUCGGGCAAUCUUUGAACGCUGGUCGUGAUGGGGAUAGACCUUUGCAAUUAUGGGUCUUCAACGAGGAAUUCCUAGUAAACGCAAGUCAUCAGCUUGCAUUGAUUACGUCCCUGCCCUUUGUACACACCGCCCGUCGCACCUACCGAUUGAAUGGUCCGGUGAAAUCUCGGGACGGCGGCUUGGUCGCUUGCGUCCGACUGCUGAAACUUGAUUAAACCAUAUCAUUUAGAGGAAGGUGAAGUCGUAACA